CUUACCUAACAGACAGCCCUUUUUUGAGGGGAUCAAAAAGAGCAGGAAAGAAAGGAGUUCAUAAAGGAAAAAAGUAAAUAAAAGACAAACUGCCUCAAAGUCAAACUCUGGAAUUCCUGUGCAUUGGUUGACUCUCAAAGGAAAAAUUGCUCCCAGGAAUAUUUUGUUGCGUUGCUGCCAAAUUUGGACUCUUCGGAUUUUUGUUCUAAGUCAGUCCCCAUCUAUUGGGUGUGCAAGUAAGCAGCCUCCCCUUAUGAGAAUGAUUCCACUGAGGAUGAAGAUGGAACAACUGGGGCAAGAUAGCAACUUGAAAUCAAGAGCAGGAUGUUGCUUGAAGGGAUAAAUUUUGACUCCUUGAACAUGCGGUAUUAGGUAUCACCUAGGUAGAGAUUAUUAAUAUGCCCUCCUAUUAGUGCUCUUCCCUGCAGGGUUAUGAUUAUUAAUGAUUGUGAACUUCUUUGUCUAUUUCCCUCCACUAGACCGGGAAGCAAAUGACCAGAAA
rnacentral:lncRNA from 1 species